rnacentral:lncRNA from 1 species
AAGAAGAAAGAAAAAAAACUCGAGUUUCUGGAAAUGUUUUAAGGGGGAGGGAAGAGGAAAAUUCAGAAAAAGAGAAAAAAAAAAAGAAGAAGAUUGAAUGAAUUACCCCGAACCUGCCUCCGCCGCCGUCGCACGAACCAUUUAUGAUGGCCGCGUCUAGGUGGAUUGUGGUGCUACCAUUCCUUUAGGAUACCUUUCGGCUUCAGUAAAAACUCUUCCCCCUUAGUUUUUAUAGAUAUUGAGUUUGUACGGUAAUUCAACUUUGAGUAUGGAAUUUACUUUGUUGGUUGAUUGGAGUUACGGUAGUUCAAUCUAUAAAGGAAGGACAAUCGAUCGCACUUGGCGCAGAACCACCUAAAGGUGGCUCUUUAUUCCCUCAAGACUUGCUUCUUAUUUUUCUUUCACCCUUUAUCCUAUCCCCUUUUAUAUCAAUAGGGAGCUACGAGCAAGGCAGCUCUGCUCCAGAAAGAAAAGAAGCCAGCAGGUCCUUUUCCGCUUGAUCGCUAACUCAUGGGCAAAGCCGUCUUUUGCCGCCCCUCAUGCAGCAUAUGAGCGGAUCUUCACUAAAACCGGCUCUAUUGGUGGAUGGAUAGCACCCCUCACUCUGCCAUGAGAACAAAGAAAGCCACACUAUCUCCUUGCAGCUUUGCCUGCCGCCCUUCGGCCCUUCGCUUAGUAAGCCCCUCUUCGAGCCUCUACUGAAUUCCGCUCGCCCCGGUCCUUAGUAGCGUUGACAAAGUAAACUCCUUGCUUGUGUCGUUGACAAAGGAGAACAGCCCCCCUGUUGUUGAUAGAGAGCUUACUACCCCGCCCUUUAUAGUCGCGACUGUUGUCAUGGAAAAAGAGUUUGUUUUUUGUCAAAGAAGCAUGCUUAACACAGCCUAUAGCGUAAAGGCAUUCGAGCUGCGUCUAAACAAAAUUAAGGUAAGGGCCUGUACUCUCUCUUCUGUAGAUACGCUAU